AUUGAACGCUAGCGGGAUGCUUUACACAUGCAAGUCGAACGGCAGCGCGGACUUCGGUCUGGCGGCGAGUGGCGAACGGGUGAGUAAUGUAUCGGAACGUGCCCAGUAGCGGGGGAUAACUACGCGAAAGCGUAGCUAAUACCGCAUACGCCCUACGGGGGAAAGCAGGGGAUCGUAAGGCCUUGCACUAUUGGAGCGGCCGAUAUCGGAUUAGCUAGUUGGUGAGGUAACGGCUCACCAAGGCGACGAUCCGGAGCUGGUUUGAGAGGACGACCAGCCACACUGGGACUGAGACACGGCCCAGACUCCUACGGGAGGCAGCAGUGGGGAAUUUUGGACAAUGGGGGCAACCCUGAUCCAGCCAUCCCGCGUGUGCGAUGAAGGCCUUCGGGUUGUAAAGCACUUUUGGCAGGAAAGAAACGUCGCGGGCUAAUACCCCGUGGAACUGACGGUACCUGCAGAAUAAGCACCGGCUAACUACGUG
rnacentral:rRNA from 1 species